rnacentral:lncRNA from 1 species
AUCUCUGCUUUUCCAGGACUCUGAUCACUGGCAUGGCUUCCGGCAGCAUUGUAGCUUUUAAUAUAGAUUUUAAUCGGUGGCAUUAUGAGCAUCAGAACAGGUACUGAAGAGAAGCAGCAGAAGCCACAUUCAAGUGAGAGCACAAGUGCUCUGUGGAAAGGCAGUAUCUCUGGUGGGGACGCUGGUCCACAUCGGCCUCUGCUUGUACAUCCAUCCCACCCAGCAGUCGCCGAACAUCAUAGUCGGGAGCCAUUUCACCCUGUUUUUCCAGGACUGAACACCAGCUGCUGUCAAGCAAGCUUAUAUCAUGUAAAUUAUCUGAAUUAGGAGCCGUUUUGGUAAUUAUUUCAUAUAUCGCCGUUUAUUGAGAAAAGGUUGUAGGAAGCCUCACAAGAGACUUUUGACAAUUCUGAGGAACCUUGUGCCCAGUUGUUACAAAGUUUAAGCUUUGAACCUAACCUGCAUCCCAUUUCCAGCCUCUUUUCAAGCUGAGAAAAAAACAAAAAACACGUUUGAUACUUUGUACAUCAUAUGCAUCUUAUUUAAAGGGAUACUUUUGUAAAAGUGAAACCUUGUAUAAAGAAAGAGCAGCCUUUGUUAAUUUACUGUGGAGUUACAACCCGCAUGCUCCCUACUCCCCCACGUCUUGAUGGAACAGGUGCAUUCAAGCUAGGAAACGGAGAGAACACAGCUUGUUCAAAAGGGUUGAAUUUGGGCUCAAUCCAUAAUUUUUGACAUUUUCACAAAAAUAUGGUUUGCACUUUUUAAUCUAAAUUCAUCCCUUCUAAGUGAGGUUUGCUCAUACAGCAUUUGGAUACUAAGCCAUUAUUUGCCGCUGUUGGUACUUAUACAAAGAAAAAUCAGCCCUGCCCUUUAGGACCUGAAAAUGCAACAGAAAGGGAGCGUGGGUACGAGGGCCUGGUUUCUACUGUGUGUAAAUGGGAGUCGCUCUCAUUAGUCCCAUUGCACUGACAUCCAGCACCUGGACAUCUCCCCUGGUGUCAGCCCACUGGCUCCGGGUCUACAUGGUGGGAGGAUCAGGAUGCUAAUGUUUCCCCUCUUUGGUUCUCAAAUAGCAUAGUUUAAUAACGAGUCAGACCGUAUUACAACAAAAACAAACGUCCCUUUCGUUCCUUGUGAGAUUUUCAUCCAAAGCCACACUCCUAGCCUAAGGCACUUCAUCUUUACGAUAUAAAAUGAUGGCUCUCAAAUGAUUUUUCCAUCCAUUGUCCCGAUCCAGCUAUCACCCAGGGGUCCAUACAUUUUCUUCAUGUUUCUUCUUUGUAUAUUUGGUGACUGUAUUGUCAUAGAUGUACAUAUCGUGUCGGUAGGGCUAUGAGGCAUGUUACAGGAAUGUAAUUUUCUCAGAAUUUACACUCAUUUGCAGUCAUUUAUUUC